UCGAGUUUUUGAACGCAAGUUGCGCCCAAAGCCAUCCGGUUGAGGGCACGCCUGCCUGGGCGUCACGCAUCGCGUCGCUCCCCC
rnacentral:rRNA from 1 species